CGAGCCUCCGCGCCAGAGGAUGAAGGGCUUUAACGUAACAUGGACACGAGCAGAAAAGGAGUUUGCGCUACUUGUCAGUGGACACAGGAAAACGCUAGGCCUCUGGCCUAUCAUGAGACACAUUUGAGGACAAAUAAUAAAAACAAUUUUAAAAAUUGAUCCCAGAAACAUGAAGGAAACGAGAAUGGAAAAUUAAACCCACAAGUCUGCUGUUUGCCUUUAGCGGACGGAGGACGGCGGCGACGAUGCUGCCUCCUGGUGGCGGAACGGGGCAAUGACGCUAUCACAGCCAGGUGGAGUUUCACGUGGUGGUCCUGAUGGUGGCCACUGGGAUUCUGAACCGAAAUUGGCUCUGGCUGCUCAGGUGACCAAAAGUGGAGUUUGGUUAUUUUAAUAUUAGAUUGAUAAUAUUAGAUUAGAUUAUUAUUACCACAAUCCGUAGCUCUAAGGCAAAAGUCUUCAAGAACACGGUAUCGGAGUUAGCCUGGGAUGUUUUGGUUUGCCACCAACAGAGAAAGGGAUGUCUUGAAGAAAACAAAGCCUUCAGCUUCUUGGCAUAGCUAACACAUUCUCUGUAGGGGAACUGUAGACACCAAUAGAAGAAUUACGAAUAUAGGUGUUAGAAAACGAGGCUUGGCAACUUCAGCAUUUAUAAAAAUGGCAAAUCAUUGGUCAAGACUGAUGCCAAAGGACAGAAGUAUUGAUGAUUUUAACAAAACAGUGUAGUAUCAUUUUGUCCCAAAAAUACAAGGAAAAAUAGCACCCACAAGGGUGCUUUUUUCCCACAAGGUGUUUUUUCCCACAAGGAAAAAAACAGUGGGAAAGAAAAACAACUUCACAAGAGAGACCAGUGAAGCUGAAGACAUUUUCACAGGGCUGCUUAAAGGAUUCACAAAGAGGGAAGACCAGGGGAAGCAGGAGGCUUCAGAUUCUGAGGCAGCAGACAAGGAGGAGCUGGCCCACCAUUUCGUAAGUAUGUGUGUGUUAUUUCAUGGAAGAGAUAAUGACAAAAUCAUUUAAAAACAUGGUAUUAGGGGCACCUGAGUGGCUCAGUCGUUAAGUGUCUGCCUUUGGCUCAGGUCAUGAUCCCGGGGUCCUGAGAUCGAGCCGGGCAUCGGGCUCCCUGCUCAACGAGCCUGCUUCUCCCUCUCCCUCUGCCUGCUGCUUCCCUUGCUGUGCUCUCUCUCUCUCUCUGUCAAAUAAAUAAAUAAAUAAAUAAAAUCUUUAAUAAGAACAACAACAAAACACAUGGUAUUAGUAAUUUUCUGGAUGGCCCUGAGGAUGACUUAGUAGAUAGUAUUGACCCAGUUUUAAAGCAAUGAAAUGUUUUAGUUUUUCAAUGUAAAGGAAAACUCUGGAUUCCAGGGAUUACAGUGAGUUUUCAUGAUGGGGGGGUGACGAUUUUGUAAAUUUUGAGGAUGAUUG
rnacentral:lncRNA from 1 species